rnacentral:lncRNA from 1 species
GUUUCCUUGUCCAGUCCUAAUGAGACUUCAGCAUUCAGUGGAAGGCAAUAUAUCCUGUUUUCCUCUUGGUUUACAAAGAAAACUCAGUGU